rnacentral:rRNA from 1 species
UACGUAGGGGGCAAGCGUUGUCCGGAUUUAUUGGGCGUAAAGAGCGUGUAGGCGGCUUUACAGGUCCGUUGUGAAAACUCGAGGCUCAACCUCGAGACGCCGGUGGAAACCGUAAGGCUAGAGUCCGGAAGAGGAGAGUGGAAUUCCUGGUGUAGCGGUGAAAUGCGCAGAUAUCAGGAAGAACACCCGUGGCGAAGGCGGCUCUCUGGGACGGUACUGACGCUGAGGCACGAAGGCCAGGGGAGCAAACGGG